GAUGAACGCUGGCGGCGUGCCUAAUACAUGCAAGUCGAGCGAACGGACGAGAAGCUUGCUUCUCUGAUGUUAGCGGCGGACGGGUGAGUAACACGUGGAUAACCUACCUAUAAGACUGGGAUAACUUCGGGAAACCGGAGCUAAUACCGGAUAAUAUUUUGAACCGCAUGGUUCAAAAGUGAAAGACGGUCUUGCUGUCACUUAUAGAUGGAUCCGCGCUGCAUUAGCUAGUUGGUAAGGUAACGGCUUACCAAGGCAACGAUGCAUAGCCGACCUGAGAGGGUGAUCGGCCACACUGGAACUGAGACACGGUCCAGACUCCUACGGGAGGCAGCAGUAGGGAAUCUUCCGCAAUGGGCGAAAGCCUGACGGAGCAACGCCGCGUGAGUGAUGAAGGUCUUCGGAUCGUAAAACUCUGUUAUUAGGGAAGAACAUAUGUGUAAGUAACUGUGCACAUCUUGACGGUACCUGAUCAGAAAGCCACAGCUAACUACGUG
rnacentral:rRNA from 1 species